GACGAACGCUGGCGGCGUGCUUAACACAUGCAAGUCGAACGAAGUGGCGAACGGGUGAGUAACGCGUAAUCAACCUGCCCUUCAGAGGGGGACACCAGUUGGAAACGACUGCUCAUACCGCAUACUGAAGGAGGGGAUUGCGUCUGAUUAGCUAGUUGGAGGGGUAACGGCCCACCAAGGCGAUGAUCAGUAGCCGGGCUGGGAGGAUGAACGGCCACAUUGGGAAUGAGACACGGGCCAGACUCCUACGGGAGGGAGCAGGGGGGAAUCUUCCGAAAGUGACGAAAGGCUGACGGAGCAACGCCGCGUGAGUGAUGACGGCCUUCGGGUUGUAAAGCUCUGUUAAGCGGGACGCGGUACCGGAAGAGAAAGCCACGGCUAACUACGUGCCAGCAGCCGCGGUAAUAC
rnacentral:rRNA from 1 species